rnacentral:rRNA from 1 species
GUGCUAACACAUGCAAGUCGAGCGUGUGGAGCCCUUCGGGGUGGAUCAGCGGCGAACGGGUGAGUAGCACGUGGGCAACCUGCCCCUAACACUGGGAUAACUCCGGGAAACCGGGGCUAAUACCGGAUACGACUGCGGACGGCAUCGUCUGUGGUGGAAAGUUCCGGCGGUUAGGGAUGGGCCCGCGGCCUAUCAGCUUGUUGGUGGGGUAAUGGCCCACCAAGGCGACGACGGGUAGCCGGCCUGAGAGGGCGACCGGCCACACUGGGACUGAGACACGGCCCAGACUCCUACGGGAGGCAGCAGUGGGGAAUAUUGCGCAAUGGGCGAAAGCCUGACGCAGCGACGCCGCGUGAGGGAUGAAGGCCUUCGGGUUGUAAACCUCUUUCAGCAGGGACGAAGCGAAAGUGACGGUACCUGCAGAAGAAGCACCGGCUAACUACGUGCCAGCAGCCGCGGUAAUACGUAGGGUGCAAGCGUNGUCCGGAUUUAUUGGGCCGUAAAAGAGCUCGUAGGCGGUCUGUCGCGUCNGAUGUGAAAACCCCAGGGCUUACCCCUGGGCCUGCAUUCGAUACGGGCCAGACUA